AUUAAUUCUCAUAAUUUCUUCUCUGAUAUAUAUUUUCUCUUGCUCUGCUUCUAUAUUCUCUGUUCAGCUGAAGGGUAUAUUAGCAACUUGUGUUCUCGGCGUUAACUUGGCUUCUGUUCGAUCAAGAAAAAAUGGCGACAAUCGAUCCAAAUCCCAACAACUCAGCUUCCAUAGGAGAUGGUCUGGUCUCUGUGGAGAACCCAAAGUCCCAACUUGUUGAAUCAUUUGGAAAAAAUUAUCCUCCUGAUUUUCUCAAAAAGGUGGUGGCAGAGGUCAUAGCUACCUAUUUGUUAGUAUUUGUGACAUGUGGUGCCGCUGCAAUUAGUACAAGUGAUGAACGAAGAAUCUCAAAACUAGGAGCCUCAGUAGCAGGAGGGCUUAUAGUGACAGUGAUGAUCUAUGCAGUGGGACAUGUCUCUGGUGCUCACAUGAACCCUGCAGUGACUACAGCUUUUGCAGCUUUUAGACAUUUUCCAUGGAAGCAGGUACCAUUUUAUGCAGCAGCUCAACUAACAGGAGCAAUUUCUGCUUCAUUUACAUUGAGAGUGCUCCUUCACCCUAUAAAACAAGUUGGAACCACUUCACCUUCUGGGUCAGAUCUUCAAGCUCUCAUCAUGGAAAUUGUAGUAACAUUUUCUAUGAUGUUUGUAACUUCAGCUGUGGCAACUGAUACAAAGGCUAUAGGAGAGUUGGCAGGUGUAGCAGUUGGUUCUGCA
rnacentral:misc_RNA from 1 species